CACGUAGGCACCAAGCGUUAUCCGGAUUUAUUGGGCGUAAAGAGCUCGUAGGCGGUUCGGUAAGUCGGGUGUGAAAACUCUGGGCUCAACCCAGAGAGGCCACCCGAUACUGCUGUGACUAGAGUGCGGUAGGGGAGCGGGGAAUUCCUGGUGUAGCGGUGAAAUGCGCAGAUAUCAGAAGGAACACCAGCGGCGAAGGCGGCCAUCUGGACGGUGACUGACGCUCAGACGCGAAAGCGUGGGGAGCAAACAGG
rnacentral:rRNA from 1 species